GAGUAACAGGAUUCAUGGAAUGAAGUAGUUGUGAGUCACCAUCUGAUUCCGACAUGAUUUGAAAGAUGUUACCAUAAAUAAACCAAGAAAAUGCAGAAUGGCUGAGGAUUAUUUUUUAAGCAAAAGCACACUGUGAUGCUGUCACACUAAUAUAGCAUGAAACCUGUCUAUGGCAUAAAAACAGAUCAAGGAAGUCAUCUGACACUCUCUGGCUGAAGGAGCUGUUGGGGAAAGUCAGUGACCAGCUUUGUUGUUCCAAAAUAAAAUGGAG